rnacentral:lncRNA from 1 species
GCCGGCCAUGGGGAUGCUCUUCACCAUGAUUUGCAUCUUGGACUCUAAAGAUUUCUUUCCUCAGAGUUGGAGAAGACCUUCAGCAGUAAGAGGAGAAGAAUUGGUGGAGAAUGGAUUGAAGAAAGUAGGUUUGGAAGAGGUUGGAAGGUGGAAGAGGGUUGUUAAAAUUUUAGGCUACAGUCUACAGGGCUGGAAAGAGAGAAAG